rnacentral:rRNA from 1 species
GAUGAACGCUGGCGGCGUGCCUAAUACAUGCAAGUCGAGCGAACGGACGAGGAGCUUGCUCCUCUGACGUUAGCGGCGGACGGGUGAGUAACACGUGGAUAACCUACCUAUAAGACUGGGAUAACUUCGGGAAACCGGAGCUAAUACCGGAUAAUAUAUUGAACCGCAUGGUUCAAUAGUGAAAGACGGUUUUGCUGUCACUUAUAGAUGGAUCCGCGCUGCAUUAGCUAGUUGGUAAGGUAACGGCUUACCAAGGCAACGAUGCGUAGCCGACCUGAGAGGGUGAUCGGCCACACUGGAACUGAGACACGGUCCAGACUCCUACGGGAGGCAGCAGUAGGGAAUCUUCCGCAAUGGGCGAAAGCCUGACGGAGCAACGCCGCGUGAGUGAUGAAGGUCUUCGGAUCGUAAAACUCUGUUAUUAGGGAAGAACAAAUGUGUAAGUAACUAUGCACAUCUUGACGGUACCUAAUCAGAAAGCCACGGCUAACUACGUG